rnacentral:tRNA from 1 species
GCGCUUGUAGCUCAGUUGGACAGAGCGUAGCCCUGCGAAGGCUAAGGUUGCGGGUUCGAGCCCCGCCAAGCGCACCA